rnacentral:tRNA from 1 species
CAAGGGAGACCCAACAACGAGUUCUAAUUGUUAUUUAUUCAACUCGUUGACAUCCCAGGUCGGUCGAGGCAAGCCGUUUUUGAUUGGCUUUCAAACUAAGAGUGGUUCGGACAUGGGCUAUUAGCUCAGGUGGUUAGAGCGCACCCCUGAUAAGGGUGAGGUCCCUGGUUCAAGUCCAGGAUGGCCCAGAGAGAAAAAAAGAGGGAAGCCAGCCCCUCUCGUUCCUAGUAUUAAGCUGUUUAGUGCUUGGGAACCGAGUCGGCUGGAGUUAAACUCCAGCAAAGAACCUUGAAAACUGCAUAACUGAAAGAAAAAUCCAAGGUGAGUUGAUGAAAGUAUUUCAUUAACUCGGCAGAACCGUAGAUCGAGACAUCUCUACUCGUAGAGAAAAAUU